GGAGAGAUGGCUCAGUGGUUAAGAGCACUGACUGCUCUUCCAGAGGUCCUGAGUUCAAUUCCCAGUAACUGCA
rfam:Mus musculus chromosome 10, GRC primary reference assembly.